rnacentral:rRNA from 1 species
GACGAACGCUGGCGGCGUGCUUAACACAUGCAAGUCGAACGGAAAGGCCUGCUUUCCCUUGUGGCUUGCGGGUACUCGAGUGGCGAACGGGCGAGUAACACGUGAGUGAUCUGCCCCCAACUUGGGUAUAAGCCUGGGAAACUGGGUCUAAUUCCCGAUAGGACUGCAGGGUGGUGCCUGUGGUGGAACACGAUUUUCUAGUGGUUGGGGAUGAGCUCGCGGCCUAUCAGCUUGUUGGUGGGGUAAUGGCCUACCAAGGCGGCGACGGGUAGCCGGGCUGAGAGGCUGGACGUCGACAUUGGGACUGAGAAGCGACCCAGAGACUGACGCAAGGCAGCGGUGGGGAAGAGAGGACAAAGUGCGGAAGCCUGAGGCAGCGACGCCAGGUUGGGGAUGCCGGCCUUCGGGUUGUAAACUCCUUUCGACCGCGAGGAAGCCACCUGGUUGGAAGGGUGGUGACGGUAGUGGUAGAAGAAGCACCGGCUAACUACGUG